rnacentral:rRNA from 1 species
GUGGGGAAUAUUGGACAAUGGGGGGAACCCUGAUCCAGCCAUGCCGCGUGUGUGAAGAAGGCCUUUUGGUUGUAAAGCACUUUAAGCGAGGAGGAGGCUACCGAGAUUAAUACUCUUGGAUAGUGGACGUUACUCGCAGAAUAAGCACCGGCUAACUCUGUGCCAGCAGCCGCGGUAAUACAGAGGGUGCAAGCGUUAAUCGGAUUUACUGGGCGUAAAGCGCGCGUAGGUGGCCAAUUAAGUCAAAUGUGAAAUCCCCGAGCUUAACUUGGGAAUUGCAUUCGAUACUGGUUAGCUAGAGUAUUGAAGAGGAUGGUAGAAUUCCAGGUGUAGCGGUGAAAUGCGUAGAGAUCUGGAGGAAUACCGAUGGCGAAGGCAGCCAUCUGGCCUAAUACUGACACUGAGGUGCGAAAGCAUGGGGAGCAAACAGGAUUAGAUACCCUAGUAGUCC